rnacentral:rRNA from 1 species
GCAUGAACUCUAUAUGAAAAGUGCUACGGCACUGGUAAGGGAUGGACUUAUGGCGCAUUAGCUAGUUGGAGGGGUAAAGGCCCACCAAGGCGACGAUGCGUAGCCGACCUGAGAGGGUGACCGGCCACACUGGGACUGAGACACGGCCCAGACUCCUACGGGAGGCAGCAGUAGGGAAUUUUCGGCAAUGGGGGAAACCCUGACCGAGCAACGCCGCGUGAAGGAAGAAGUAAUUCGUUAUGUAAACUUCUGUCAUAGAGGAAGAACGGUGCGUGUAGGGAAUGACAUGCAAGUGACGGUACUCUAUAAGAAAGCCACGGCUAACUACGUGCCAGCAGCCGCGGUAAUACGUAGGUGGCGAGCGUUAUCCGGAAUUAUUGGGCGUAAAGAGGGAGCAGGCGGCACUAAGGGUCUGUGGUGAAAGAUCGAAGCUUAACUUCGGUAAGCCAUGGAAACCGUAGAGCUAGAGUGUGUGAGAGGAUCGUGGAAUUCCAUGUGUAGCGGUGAAAUGCGUAGAUAUAUGGAGGAACACCAGUGGCGAAGGCGACGAUCUGGCGCAUAACUGACGCUCAGUCCCGAAAGCGUGGGGAGCAAAUAGGAUUAGAUACCCUAGUAGUCCACGCCGUAAACGAUGAGUACUAAGUGUUGGGAGUCAAAUCUCAGUG